rnacentral:lncRNA from 1 species
GUAUUGUUGAACUCAAUUUUUUUUAUUUAUAGUUAUAUACAGGUUAUGUAUAUAUUUAGUUAUUACUUAAGGAUACUUACGUAAACUCUAAAUUACAACUCUUGUAAGAUGGGAACUAAAACAAUUUUGAUAUGAUUCAUAGUUUAUUCUAUAAAGAAAGAUUCAUUUAUGAUAGCAUUUAUAAUAUUUCUGCUGAGAAUCAGAGGCAUGUGAUAUAGGAGUCAUUUCAAAUAGUAGGACACUGUAAACUAUAUAUCAUGAAUCUAAGCUUUUAGCAAGACAAUUAAACUCCACAACCAUGAAAUCUAGGUUUAAACGUUUUCCAUAGCACCAACUGCAUCUGUCAGUCUUUUUAUACCAUUAAGUAGAGGAUUGUGUCUGCUCUUUUUAUUAUAAUGGACGUUAUAGAGUUAAGUAUGUUAUGUACAUUCAAAGAAACAGGGUAGUGAUAUAAAAGUUACCAAAUCGAUGGGUGAGUUUAUCAAAUGAACACUGUUUUAUGGUGCCAGCGUUUCUAAGUUAAGAUGACAGGGUAUUCGACAGUUUGUAAUCAGUUGUUGAUCAGCAUAAUUCAAACUUAGCCAGCUGUGCCUGCUUUGAGGAUGCAGUAGUCACUAUAGCAAGCCUCUAAGCCAAAUCUUCCAAAAAGUAGUUCUUAUAGAAGAAAUUAUAUGUGUGUGUAAUAUAUAUAUAUGUAUAUAUAUUAUGUGUGUGUGUAUAUAUAUAUAUGUAUAUAUAUGUAUGUGUGUAUGUAUAUGUAUGUAUGUGUAUGUAUAAAAUGUUUGCAGGCACAUAGGAUGAGUGACCCGUCAAAGGAGAUUUUAGAACUUAUCAGUGGGACAAAUGUUGAAUUUCUAAAUGCAGAACAUGGUCAUUCUUUGAAUAUUUAAGUACAAAUAUUAUUUCUUGGAUUAGAUUUGAAUGCAAAGGCCACUUUAAAGCCUAGUUCCUUUUUGUCGGACUAAGAGCAAGAGCCAGCUGUGUAAGAGCACCACUAAAAUGCCCCGGUGUUUGCCUCCAUCAUCACUGUCCCUGUGACACAACUCAGUAAGUUGCUUUUUUAAGAUUUGUGACACUUAUAUGUGAUAAAUACCUUGCCAAAUAAAAUAAAUGUAUGACAUGAAUGCAAAUACCAAGAAAAAUCCUGAGUCUAUUUAACUAAGUUUAAUUGAAUUUUCUUGAACUUGAAUUUCUACUGAUUAAACUAUGCAAUCAUGCUUAUUGUUUUAUAAACACAUGAUGCACUGGCCUGGGUUUUUCUUGUGUUGUUUUCCUGUGUUGUAAGUUUUAAUUUGAAAGAUUAUCCUAACCCAAUUUUUAGUGUUCUUAACUUUUAGUGUCAUCUGGCACUUAUCGGUAGCAGUGGAAGCUGGAACAGGGUAUUUUGGUUUUGGUUUUAAAGUAACUCUGC